rfam:Beta vulgaris subsp. vulgaris Bvchr4_un.sca011.con0105.1, whole genome shotgun sequence.
AUACUCAUGAUGGAGGCAAGCUCUAACAUACUCAUUGAAUCAUUCUCCAGCUUCACCUAGAGACUCAUCUAAUUCUUGUUGGAAGUUGGAGAUCUUCUUUCUCAUUUU